AUUGAACGCUGGCGGCAGGCCUAACACAUGCAAGUCGAGCGGAUGAAGGGAGCUUGCUCCUGGAUUCAGCGGCGGACGGGUGAGUAAUGCCUAGGAAUCUGCCUGGUAGUGGGGGAUAACGUCCGGAAACGGGCGCUAAUACCGCAUACGUCCUGAGGGAGAAAGUGGGGGAUCUUCGGACCUCACGCUAUCAGAUGAGCCUAGGUCGGAUUAGCUAGUUGGUGGGGUAAAGGCCUACCAAGGCGACGAUCCGUAACUGGUCUGAGAGGAUGAUCAGUCACACUGGAACUGAGACACGGUCCAGACUCCUACGGGAGGCAGCAGUGGGGAAUAUUGGACAGUGGGCGAAAGCCUGAUCCAGCCAUGCCGCGUGUGUGAAGAAGGUCUUCGGAUUGUAAAGCACGUUAAGUUGGGAGGAAGGGCAGUAAGUUAAUACCUUGCUGUUUUGACGUUACCAACAGAAUAAGCACCGGCUAACUUCGCG
rnacentral:rRNA from 1 species